rnacentral:rRNA from 1 species
CGGGUCUGAGAGGAUGAUCCGCCACACUGGGACUGAGACACGGCCCAGUGUGGGGGACAACAUCUCGAAAGGGAUGCUAAUACCGCAUACGUCCUACGGGAGAAAGCAGGGGAUCUUCGGACCUUGCGCUAAUAGAUGAGCCUAAGUCGGAUUAGCUAGUUGGUGGGGUAAAGGCCUACCAAGGCGACGAUCUGUAGCGGGUCUGAGAGGAUGAUCCGCCACACUGGGACUGAGACACGGCCCAGACUCCUACGGGAGGCAGCAGUGGGGAAUAUUGGACAAUGGGGGGAACCCUGAUCCAGCCAUGCCGCGUGUGUGAAGAAGGCCUUAUGGUUGUAAAGCACUUUAAGCGAGGAGGAGGCUACUUUAGUUAAUACCUAGAGAUAGUGGACGUUACUCGCAGAAUAAGCACCGGCUAACUCUGUGCCAGCAGCCGCGGUAAUACAGAGGGUGCGAGCGUUAAUCGGAUUUACUGGGCGUAAAGCGUGCGUAGGCGGCUUAUUAAGUCGGAUGUGAAAUCCCCGAGCUUAACUUGGGAAUUGCAUUCGAUACUGGUGAGCUAGAGUAUGGGAGAGGAUGGUAGAAUUCCAGGUGUAGCGGUGAAAUGCGUAGAGAUCUGGAGGAAUACCGAUGGCGAAGGCAGCCAUCUGGCCUAAUACUGACGCUGAGGUACGAAAGCAUGGGGAGCAAACAGGAUUAGAUACCCUGGUAGUCCAUGCCGUAAACGAUGUCUACUAGCCGUUGGGGCCUUUGAGGCUUUAGUGGCGCAGCUAACGCGAUAAGUAGACCGCCUGGGGAGUACGGUCGCAAGACUAAAACUCAAAUGAAUUGACGGGGGCCCGCACAAGCGGUGGAGCAUGUGGUUUAAUUCGAUGCAACGCGAAGAACCUUACCUGGUCUUGACAU